AAAUUAUAAAUAUUUAUAUAAUUUAAGUGAUCAAUUAUUAUCAACAAAUAGACUUUAACGCAGUUUUUGAAGAAUCAUUUGUUGUAAUCGUUCAGCUGCGUUAUUGAAAAUCUGUUUAACCAUCAGUGUCGUUGAUUCAACAUCAUUAUCGUCAUCAUCAACGCGGGUUUCAACAGAUUAAUCAUCAUUCUCUAUAAUUGAAUGAUUUCAACGAAGUUAUUGAAAAAUUGUUUGUUGUCAUCAUUCAGUUGUUGAAAAUCUGUUUAACCCUCAGUGCCGUUGAUUCAACACCAACGUCAUCAACAUCAUUAUCACCGCGGGUUAUAACAGAUUAAUCAUCGUCCUCU